CUAAUCUAAAGGCCUUUGCGAUGUUAAAUUGUGAACAUCUUGAGGUUUUCAUUAAAGGGUGUGGCCAUGGCGCCGUGACAAAGUUCGAUGUCUCGCCAUGGGAAUAGAAGUUGUUGUAACUCAGGCAUAAGAUGUCCGAUCUUUCCCCAAACUUCACAUGUUCGAAAAGAGUCUUGGCCUGAACACAUCUGAAGGUCAAUGUUCAGUUAUAAUCAUAGCGCCACCUGUUGGCAAUAGGACACAACAUGCUUUAUACUAACUCAAACAUUCCAUGUUCAAUCUGCACUAAAUUUCAUAUGCUUGAUAAAAGUGCUGGACUGAAGAAAUCUACAUGACAAAAUCCAGUUAUAGUCAUAGCGCCACCAGCUGGCAGCAGGAAGAUUGGCACAUAUAAAUGACUUUGCCAUAUUUCUCUUAUAUUACCACAUUAAACGCAUAUAUUUUGCCGUUCGCUGUUUUACAAAAGCCACCCGCUGGCGGUGAGCCCGGGUGCGAGGGCCCUUUCAUCGCUGCUUGCAGCUUUAAUUAGGGCCCGAGCACCGAUGGUGUGAGGACCCUCUUGUAUCUGCUUCGUUUAUUAUUAUUAUUAUUCUUCUUCUUCUUCUUCUUCUUCUUCUUCUUCUUCUUCUUCUUCUUCUUCUUCUUCUUCUUCUUCUCCAAAAUGAAUCGCAUUUUUUUGAGGGCCUAAACAUGCUCGAAAAAGUCCUGAAACUUUUGCACACGCGUCAGACCUGGUGAAAAUUUACGUCUGAUAUAGGUUUCAGAAGAGGGUGUGGCAAAAUGGCUCGACAGCGCCACCUACCGUAAAAAAAUCAACAGCCCUCGAGCUGUGUUUCACGUACAUGCACGAAAAUUGGCACACAUAUGUAAAGCAUCAGUACCUACAAAAAAGACUCUUGGAGCAAUAUCCGAAACCCAACAGGAAGUCGGUUAUUUUUUUAAUUUUAUGAGCAAAUUUUGCAUCAUUUUUUUGUCAUUUGCAUGCCUUGUAUUUUAACGAACUCCUCCUAGAGAUUUAUUCAGAUCAACACCAAAUUUGGUAUGCCUAAUCUAAAGGCCUUUGCGAUGUUAAAUUGCGAAGAUCUUGAGUUUUCAUUGAAGGGCGUGUCCGUGGCGGCCUGACGAAUUUCGAUGAUUCGCCAUGGAAAAUGAAGUUGCUAUAACUCAGACAUACAAUGUCCAAUCUGCCACAAACUUCACAUGUUUGAUAAGACUCCUGACCUGAACAGAUUGAUAUGCCCAUAUUCAGUUAUAGUCAUAGCGCCACCUACUGGCAACAGGAAGUGACAUAUUUUACACUGUAACAAAGUACCCCGAGAAAUUUUAUGACAUAAAUUUUUUUUUUUCAGUCACUCUAUUCUAAAGGCCUGUGCGAUGUUAAAUUGUGAAGAUCUUGAGUUUUUCGUUAAAGGCGUGUCCAUGGCGCCGUCACAAAGUUCGAUGUCUCGCCAUGGGAAUAAAAGUUAUUGUAACUCAGGCAUAAAA
ensembl:lncRNA